GCAUUGAUAAUGAGUGAUUUGAUAAUGUAAGUGGCCGAAGCCGAAAGAAAUGCUCGAGUCAUAGGUUAACAACACGCUCGGUGGAUUCUCAGUUGAGACUCGUUGAAUGUUGAUCAGUUGGACCGGUGUUUUGCCAGAGCCGUGCACGUUUUAGUAUCAGCUCGUAAUUUUUGUUCAGUCAUGGCUGCUGUGCGCAAAAUUAUCCAAUCGGCUGCCGCCCCGAAACCCGUCGGGCCUUACAAUCAAGCAGUCCUAAGUGGGAACACUUUGUACAUCUCCGGAGUGUUGGACUUAACCCUUCGUCAGGAAAACUUGUCGCAGGAGGAGCCAAAGAGCAAGCUACACAGAUUUUCAAAAAUAUGUCCGAAAUCUUGAAGGAAGCUGGCGGUGACUUUAAAAAUGUUGUCAAAACAACUAUUUUGCUGGCAGAUAUGGGUGACUUCUCCACUAUCAUGCAGUUUACUCAGAAAAUUUCAAAGAACCUUAUCCUGCUCGAUCGACUUUCCAAGUGGCAAAACUACCUCUCGUAAGUCUAUUCCUCUGAUUGUCCUUGAUAAACUUCGACUCGAUAAAAUCUCAAAACAAAAAUGUCAACGAGAAAUCGUAGCAUUUUAUGAAACCGACAUUUUUAUAGUUGGUUGUUGCUCUUGGCAAAGUUUGACCUAUAUAACGAACUAUUCUGAGUUUUAUCUGUUCGAGUCGUAGUUUUCCUCUGAAAUCAUACAAUAUUAGAUCAAACUCAUCAUUUUUUCAAAGCUGUGAGGAAAAAUGUAAUUUUUCAUCUGAUUAUUUGCGCUUGGAUCCGUCAGUUAACGAUAAGGAGGACUGCAUUUUGCAAUUAGGAACUACAAUCUCUGGUUCAUCCGUAAAAACAUUAUGUCCAUAGAAAGUAAUGGUACUACAUGCGUUAUUUUUAAAUUGAGCUAGAAAUUAUAGUUCCCAAUUGCAAAGUGAAGUCCAUUUAUCAUCACGGUAGGGAUCGAUGAAUUGUGUAAGGACUGAAUCAAAGUUAGCACCGAUUCGAUGGGUCAAAGUUGAAAUCGGCAAUGCAGAGCAACGAUUGCACAAACUGCUGGACUAUGUUGUAACAAACUUUUAAGUGCAAUCGCGAUGAACGUAUCCGAGUUUUUCUAUUCGCACUCAUUCUCUGUGCCUUUAAAAUUCUAAAAGAUAUCGCAGCAAAGAAAUAUAGGAGAUAGGCAAUCCAUUAAAAUUAUUUUAUUACAAUGCUAUCUGUUCAAGCAGUGUUUAUUGCACAUUCGUUUUUCGCACUAUAUUCGGAAUAUCUGAAUGUUCCGUAGGAAUCUCGACCAUUGCAUUCUCAUCUUUUUUCUGAUCGGGGCCAAAACUUCCUAUCAUCAGUUGACGUGCUGACGAUAACCGGAAAAAACUAAAACGGAGUAUUGAAAAAGUUCUACGGAAAUUUCUCCACAUGAGAUCCAUUGCAUCCCGGAUAAUGUAGUUGACAAAACUUUAAACAGGCGGACGUCUUGAAAUGGGGUUGGGCGUCUUCUCAAACAUAAAACAUUCUCUGAUUAACUUUUUCCGUCUUCCAAACAAACUCAACCUGUGGAAGAUAUCUUGCUCCUGGGAACUUUUCUCAGUUUCAUAAUCUUUGAGAUUACAUUGGGGGG
rnacentral:lncRNA from 1 species